GAUUAACCCUGUGCUGGCCGGGGCGGAAGCUUUGUCUGGGGACCCGGCCUCCCGAGUACCCCUGCGGCCGGGCGGGGCGGCGAGCCCCUGGCUGCCCGGUGACCCGUGUGGUUGGUUCCCAGGUCACAGUGCGUGUGAAGGGUGAAGAUGUGACCCCAGAGGAGAUGGAUGCCCCUGAAGCAUUAUGGGAAUCUCAGCGCACCCAGCAGCCCCAUCCCGCAUGGGGAUCCCUGGAGGAGGCGGCCCUGAGGAAAUGUGAGCUGCCAGGCGCCCCUGGAAAGGAGCCCGGAGUUGGAAGAGAAAUGGUCAUCUCUAACGUGGAAGCGGCUAUGGGUGCGGAGCAUGAUCACUGCCUAAAAAUAGCCUGGACAGCAGCUCUGUCUAGUGGGGCAGGGGCUCCAAAGAGAUUGCAGGUGCUGGAAUCCUGAGCCGGGCUGAAGA